UUAGACUGAAGUCCGGCGGUCGUGCGAUUCGAAGCGUUAUCCCUCGAUGUCGAUUGUGUCCUGCCAUUUUCGAGCGUUUGUCGUGCAUUUCAUCGAAUGUCAAAGGUGACAUCUGCAGUUCGUGUUGGUACUAGUAGGCUACGCAAUUGGAUGACAGUUCAUUUUUUUUUUCAAAGUCCACCACGAAAAGGUUAUUUUAUAAUUUUAAAUUAGAAAUAAUUAAAACAAAAAGCAUUGUUUGUGCAGAUUCCGAUGCGUCAAUCCGGAAGGCGUGCUGUUGAGCGAUGGGCUCGAUGCUCAAAUACAAAGCCAGCGGUUUCAAAUUCAGGGACUUUCUGAACCAGGAAAACGGUAAAAUGCAAGAGGAAUUUAAAUUUCCAAGCAACUCAUCAAACUUCCAUCAUCCAACAUCCAAAAAGUUUUUGGCACCUCGGAUUACCAACUUUUUCAAGAACUUUUUCUUGCAGUAUGGCCAAGAUUGUGGAUUAUUUGUUGUAAAAACAGGAUAAUAAAAAUGUAUUGAUCAA